AAAUGUAAAUGACAGGAAACAUUUAAGUGGAUUCAAGAAGAACAUGAUAUUGUUUGACAUCACAAUGACUCACUGACAAAUAAGCUGCACAGAGAGAAAUUCAAUAAAGGUUCAGAAGGUCAGAGGGUCACAAGAGUUUACAACUCAUGCAGGUGGCGAAAGGGACUCUGCAGAUGUGAUUAAGUAAAAGAUCUUGAAGUGGGAAGAUUAUCCCGGAUUAUCCAGGACAAAGGAAAAGGAAACAAAGAGAAGAAAGAAACAAGCAUGAUAGAAGGUGAUGCUAGUAACAGCUAUGAUAAAAGAAGAAAGAAGAUAUUUGGAAAAGGAAAAAGAUAUGGCUGCCUCUGCUGCUGGAGUUAGAGGAAAGCAACUGUGCUCUGGUGUCUGAGUCCAGUGGAAUGUUCUGUUCAUCCCCAGAAUUCGACGUGAAGUGGGUUACGUAGAGAUAUGCCAGAGCCUCCUCCCUCCCCUGCCUCGUUGUGCCUGUUUAAGUCUCUUUUUCAACUGAGGACCCAAGAAAACAAGUGCCAACCAUUGCAGCAUAACAAAGGAGGUCUUAGAUCAUGUAUCAGGACUGAAAAAGAGAUGCCAAACCAGUUUUGUCAACUUUACCUAAGAUGUAUCUUCAAGUUAUACAAGCAAAGAUUAAGAAUUUGGCCAAAAAAUUGAAGAACUGUGCCAUGUACAUCUCCAGUCCUUCUGCUGCACCGCCCCCCCCAUGGGAGAGGGAAGCAUAGAGCGUCCCCUGGAAGAACUUCUUUGGGAUCCCUCAGAGAACUUAAUACGUGUCUCCUGGAACUUAAGGAAUAUAGUGGAGUGGUGCCUUACUCAAGUUUCAGGAAGCCGAAGUGGAAGAAGCUGUGUAAAGUGACAAUGCCAGCAGGAUAGGGGCUACAGCUGAGAGUUAACUGCAAUCACUCAGAAAGCCACAGGUCCCUAGAGAGGCAAGGACUCUUCACCACAAAGAGGCCACGGGAAGAGGAGGAAAAUGGAAGGGCCCCGCUGGUGCAGAGGCUUUUGCUCGUGUCAAGAAAAUUACAGAGGAGAGAUUCUCGGUGAUGCGGGAAUCUCCAAGUGCCUAUGGGAGAGGCCAUUUAAAAAAUGCGCCACAAGCAGCAAAACCACCCCCAGCUGAAAGACUGUCUGGUCUGACCCCAAGCUUGGAGAGGCUGAAGCUGGAACUAACAAAUCAUGAAUUUGGAAGCUGAUUAAAUUCGCAUGUUCAGCAUGCAACAAAGAGUUCUAAAGGGGGCUGGCUCCGUGGCCGAGUGUUAAGUUCCCGCGCUCCGCUGCGGCCGCCCAGGGUUCAGAUCGUGGGCGAGGACAUGGCACCGCUCAUCAGGCUGCAUUGAGUGAAAUCAUUCUAAAGUACCAGUUUGACACACAAACAACAGCCUUGGUCCUUUUGAAAAUGUAGUGGCCACCUGCAUAAAUUCAGGACUUCUUACUUGGAGAGGCAGGCUGAGAAAGGAUCCAGGGGGAAGAAGACCCACACACAGGUUUAAAUCUUCUGCCUAGAAGUGAAGUUUGUCACUGCCAUCCAGAUUUACUUGAUCCUGCCUAACUUCAAGGACGCAAGGAAAAGUAGUGCUACCACGUGCCUGGACAAGAGAAAGAACACGUUUUUUGAACAAUACUGAUGACAG
rnacentral:lncRNA from 1 species